rnacentral:rRNA from 1 species
AUUGAACGCUGGCGGCAGGCCUAACACAUGCAAGUCGAGCGGAUGAAGGGAGCUUGCUCCUGGAUUCAGCGGCGGACGGGUGAGUAAUGCCUAGGAAUCUGCCUGGUAGUGGGGGAUAACGUCCGGAAACGGGCGCUAAUACCGCAGACGUCCUGAGGGAGAAAGUGGGGGAUCUUCGGACCUCACGCUAUCAGAUGAGCCUAGGUCGGAUUAGCUAGUUGGUGGGGUAAAGGCCUACCAAGGCGACGAUCCGUAACUGGUCUGAGAGGAUGAUCAGUCACACUGGAACUUAGCCACGGUCCAGACUCCUACGGGAGGCAGCAGUGGGGAAUAUUGGACAAUGGGCGAAAGCCUGAUCCAGCCAUGCCGCGUGUGUGAAGACGGUCUUCGGAUUGUAAAGCACUUUUAGUUGUGAGGAAGGGCAGUAAGUUAAUACCUUGCUGUUUUGACGUUACCAACAGAAUAAGCACCGGCUAACUUCGUG